GACAGAGGGACCUAGCGUUGUUCGGAAUGACUGGGCGUAAAGGGUGUGUAGGUGGUCACCUAAGUAAGAUGUUAAAGCCCUGGGCUUAACCCAGGAAUCGCAUUUUAUACUGGGAGACUAGAGUAUUGGAGAGGAAAGCGGAAUUCCUAGUGUAGAGGUGAAAUUCGUAGAUAUUAGGAGGAACACCAGAGGCGAAGGCGGCUUUCUGGCCAAUUACUGACACUGAGGCACGAAAGCGUGGGGAGCAAACAGG
rnacentral:rRNA from 1 species